UAGUUGCAACAGAGACCAAACAGCCUGUAAAGCCUUAAAAUAUUUACUCUCUGGCCCCUUGAAGAAAACAUUUCCCAACAUUUCCUGAUCUAAGUUAGGAGAAAGAAAGGACUUUCAGAAUGCCACUAACAUGAGGCUGUCUUGAGACUGGAGAUGAUCUGGAGAAAAAUCAAGUGUCCUGGGAUCCAGAGUGCUUCUUAAUACGUGACUCUUAUCUACACCUGGCCUGUUUGGGGAGAAAUGAAUCAACACCUGUGAUCCAGCAAAGCGACAGCACAUGCCUUCUUCAUGGGGAGAGUGACUAAAGUGUGUGGCUGGAGGCCAGGACUGUUAAUCUAGUGGAGGCUGCUGCA